AUUGAACGCUGGCGGCAUGCCUUACACAUGCAAGUCGAACGGCAGCACGGGAGCAAUCCUGGUGGCGAGUGGCGAACGGGUGAGUAACGCGUAAGUAAUCUACCCCUGUAUUUGGAAUAACCCACCGAAAGGUGAGCUAAUACCGGAUACGUUCAGGCUGGUGCGAAUCAGUUUGAAGAAAGAUGGCCUCUUCUUGAAAGCUACUGUACAGGGACGAGCUUGCGUACCAUUAGCUAGUUGGUAGGGUAAUGGCCUACCAAGGCGACGAUGGUUAGCGGGUCUGAGAGGAUGAUCCGCCACACUGGAACUGGAACACGGACCAGACUCCUACGGGAGGCAG
rnacentral:rRNA from 1 species